UCAUCUUAUCUUUUCCUCCUUGCCGUAUGGUUUUUGCUCGUUCGAUUUUCGCAUCGAUGUCGUAUUUCCUUUCUGGGAUUCUGUCUUCGGAUCCGCUCGCAUCGGCCCAACAGCUCUUUGUAUAUUGUCUUACGAUGAAAGGAGCGACGCUGUUGGAUCUAUGCCUUUAAAGGCCUUUGCUGCUGGCAAGGAAGCAAAUAUUAAAUUGAAGGACUCCAGCGCUUCUGGCGGCCUUUGCACGUUGUUAAUGUUUUAUUAUUUUAAUUUUGUAGGGACGGUUUCAUCAGCGGCUGAGUUUUGGUGGAGCAUACCGUUUUUGGAUGUAAGGUGGUGAUUAACGAGGCAUCUGAUGUUUUGAGCCGGCGAUGUGGCAUUGACUGGGUUGUUUUUGAAAGGAUGUGUAAGAUGUCAGGGCAAAAGGUCCUACUGAUGAUAUUUAUUUGUUAGGGGACUGAGUCCCGAUCUAUCUUUGUCGUCCAAGACCUUUGCCAUGGCGGGUGCGCUUGCAUGGCAGGUCACCUGAACUUAAUAAAAUUUGUCUUUUUGGGUGUCUUCGAGGGGAGAUCGCACGGGGUUUGCCCGGGUUCUCCCCUCUGCUGCGGUGUCGUAUCGUGUCUCCUGCACUUGUGUUCCUUUUUCUCUUUCCCUUGCUCGCUUUCCAUUUUUACAUCAUACGGCAUGGACGCUUGAUCCAACACCACCAUCAACGUCAGAAUAAGCUCAUGAACUUCCAAGCCAAACUACUAGGUUAUCUCUCGGCCAAGGUAUUAUUUUACAUAUUUUAAUCCCACUCCGCCUUAUCUAAUUUACUUCAAAAUUUAAUUUUAUUCUGCAAGUAGAUUUACCAUUAACAUAGAUAACAUGAAACGGUAACAAAUACUAGUUUUUAACAUAUUAAGGGGUUUAAUGAGAUUGAAUGGUGAAGGGUACACAUGCAUGGUUUUUAAAUUGUUCAUCACCCUUCAAUCUUUGUUUUCUAAAAUUACGCGGCCCUGAAUUAUUGAUUUUCUUUCAUAAUUUUUUUCGUAGAGAAUAUUAUUUUUAAAUAAGCUGUCUAAUUUUAGAUUAUUUGAUUUUGGUAAUGUUUUAUCCCAUCUUAGCAAGUAUAAUAGUAAAAACAUAAAUUGAAAUGUUCUUUUUUAAAUUUAAUAUAUUUUCUUUUAUUAAACCUGCUUAACGUGAAAGUCCAAUUUAAAGCAUUAUUACGGGAGCUAAUUGAAAUAAUUGUAUGAAAAAUUAAAUUGAGUUAAACCUGCGGAUGUUAAGUUCUUAUUUAGUAGAUCUUAACUGUAUAUUAUUGUUCUAUAAAAUCAAUUAUUAUAUUUUAAUAUGUUUAAAAUGAUGGUAUAAGUUCAUUGAGGAUACACUGGCUAUGAUCUCCAUUUUUAUCUCAGAGAAGUUACUCUCAACGUAAUUGAAGCUUUUAAGGUUCGAUCUGCCAACUUCACAGUUCAUUGAAUUUUCAAUUUUUUCAGUCUGAAUUCCAUUUCUUUCUUUUCGUUUGUUAUUUACAUUUCACUUUUAUUAGCCAAGUGCGUUCCCUAGUAUUUCAGUAUUCUUUUUCUAGUGCGUAUUGGAACUGUAUACUAUGAUAGGAGUUUUGUAUGUAAGUUGAUGCAGCAUAUGUAUUUGCUUGUAUGUAGCAUUUUGUUGUUGUUUUGGUCCUUGUACGGGUUUCUGAUUUCAUCAGCUUGAAAGCAAGUGUUCCUUCACUCUCUGAACAAGAUUCCGAUGGAUUAUGUCACAGCAGCUGGUGUAAUGAUGUUGGGAGGUAUUUUUGGAUUUACACUAUUCCAUCAUGUUACAUGUUGCAUGUCUAAUCUUUUAUAGAGAAACUGGCAAUCAAGGCAUGUGGGAUGAAGUGUUUGUUGGGUAUGGAUUGGUCACGGCACGUAAGGAUGUUGGGAGGUAUUUCGUAUUUACAUUAUUCCAUCAUGUUGCUUCUUCUCUUCUUUUUCAUAGAAACUGGAAAUUAAGGAGUUUGUGGGUCGCAGCAGUGAGCGUAAUGUUGUAAAUCCAGAAAUACCUCAACACACUUACAUGUUGAAAGUUGAAAUCGAAAGAUGCAUGGUCAAAAGUUAAAGUUUGAUACCGAAUAUGCAUUAGUCAAUUUUAGUGCAGUUUUUGUUGGACUAAUGCAUGUUAGGUGUCAAACUUUGACUUUUGACUAUGCAUCAUUCGGGGUCAACUUUCAACACGUGGUGUUGGAGGUAUUUUUGGAUUUAUACUUUUCCAAUCAUGUUCCGUAUUGUGUAUCUUCUAAUUCUUGAUAGAAACCAGAAAUCAAGCUAUGCUGGAUGAGGUCUACCUCUGCAGAACUUGGUUGUUGCAGCGAGUAUAAUGAAGUUGGGAGGUAUUUGGGAUUAAAGGUUCUUCCCAUAAAGAUGCUAGGAGGUAUUUCUAAAUUUACAAUAUGCCAUCAUGUUCCAUGGGUCUUCCCUUUUGAGUAACACAGGGAAUCAAGGUAUCUGCGGUGAAGUGUUUGUGUAUAUAGCUUGGUUGACAUUCAGGGUUUAUGCUGGAAGUCAUUUGGAGACUUGGAAUUGAGCUGUGGAGGCAUUCAAUGCAGAGUGGCAGGUAAAAUUCUGUGAAGAUUUUCCAUACAGAUGCAAUUGUUGAAGCGUUGAAGUCAUUAUGCAGUGAUGUAGUGAGAUUAGUUUUGAGGAGCUUCUGUUGUGGAAGAUUGAUCGAAUUCUGAAAGAGGUACAUGCACACCGUGUAAACCAGUUCCUUUUACAUAGUGAAGAUUUUCAGUGGACUACGGUCCCGUGGUUUUUCCCCUUAAUUAUCAAGGGGUUUUCCACGAAGAUCUGUAAGCUCAAAAUGGCAGAGCGCUCAAUCCCAACUAGAGGUUUUGAGAGGUUGGUGGUUCGAAUCCAUCCAGAUCUGCUCUUUCUCUCCCUACAUUAGUUUCAGGGUUUUAUUAAGUAGUAUAUAUUAAGUAGUACUUAAUCUUAUUGUUGUGAAAUUUGGGAUUUAGGAUGACUUGCGUUAUUCAUUAAAAGAUUGUAAGGAGCUUUUUUUUAAUAAAAUUCCAUAUAAUGCUUGAAUAAAAAGGUUAAGAUCAA